AGGGAAUUAGUCCAAACAUAAGACCUCUGAUUUCGGCUCAGAAAAUUAUGGUUUAAAUCCAUAACCCCCUU
rnacentral:tRNA from 1 species